AUUGAACGCUGGCGGCAGGCCUAACACAUGCAAGUCGAGCGAGCGGCGGACGGGUGAGUAAUGUCUGUGAAACUGCCUGAUGGAGGGGGAUAACUACUUGAAACGGUAGCUAAGACCGCAUACCAUCAGAUGUGCCAAGAUGGGAUUUGCUAGUAGGUGGGGUAACGGCUCACCUAGGCGACGAUCCCUAGCUGGUAUGAGAGGAUGACCAUCCACACUGGAACUUAGACACGGUCCAGACUCCUACGGGAGGCAGCAGUGGGGAAUAUUGCAAAAUGGGCGCAAGCCUGAUGCAGCCAUGCCUCGUGUGUGAAGAAGGCCUUCGGGUUGUAAAGCACUUUCAGCGGGGAGGCGUUACCCGCAGAAGAAGCACCGGCUAACUCCGUGCCAGCAGCCGCGGUAAUUC
rnacentral:rRNA from 1 species